rnacentral:rRNA from 1 species
AGGGUGCAGGGCGGAUGCCUUGGCACUAGGAGCCGAUGAAGGACGUGAUAAGCUGCGAUAAGCUUCGGGGAGUUGCACGUAAACUUUGAUCCGAAGAUUUCCGAAUGAGGAAACUCACUUAGAGUAAUGUCUAAGUAUCAUUAAGUGAAUACAUAGCUUAAUGAGGGGAACUCAGGGAACUGAAACAUCUAAGUACCUGAAGGAAGAGAAAGAAAUUCGAUUCCGUAAGUAGCGGCGAGCGAACGCGGAUUAGCCCAAACCAAUAAAGUUUUCUUUAUUGGGGUUGCGGACAUAUCAUAACGAAGAGGUAUCGUAAUUGAAGAGGUUUGGAAAGACCCACCACAGAAGGUAAUAGUCCUGUAUGUUAAACGAGAAGACUUCAGAUAUGAUCCAGAGUACCACGGGACACGUGAAACCCUGUGGGAAGCAGGAGGGACCACCCUCCAAGGCUAAAUACUACCUAGUGACCGAUAGCGUAUAGUACCGUGAGGGAAAGGUGAAAAGAACCCCGGGAGGGGAGUGAAAUAGAACCUGAAACCCUGCACUUACAAGCUGUGGAAGCACAUUUCUUGUGUGACCGCGUACUUUUUGUAGAACGGGCCAACGAGUUACGUUAAGUAGCAAGGUUAAGCACUUAAGGUGCGGAGCCGUAGCGAAAGCGAGUUUUAACUGAGCGUUCAGUUACUUGACGUAGACCCGAAACCGGGCGACCUACCCAUGAGCAGGAUGAAGCGAAAGUAAAAUUUCGUGGAGGUCCGAACCCACGAGCGUUGAAAAGCUCGGGGAUGACUUGUGGGUAGCGGUGAAAUUCCAAUCGAGCCCGGAGAUAGCUGGUUCUCCCCGAAAUAGCUUUAGGGCUAGCCUCAAGGUGAGAGAUACGGAGGUAGAGCACUGAAUGUCCUAGGGGGUAUUGCACCUACCGAAGACUAUCAAACUCCGAAUGCCGUCAUCUUAUACUUGGGAGUCAGACUGUGGGUGAUAAGAUUCAUAGUCGAAAGGGCAACAGCCCAGAUCGUCAGCUAAGGUCCCUAAAUGUAAGUUAAGUGGUAAAGGAUGUGGGAUUGCACAGACAACCAGGAUGUUGGCUUAGAAGCAGCCACUCAUUCAAAGAGUGCGUAAUAGCUCACUGGUCGAGUGAUCCUGCGCCGAAGAUUUCCGGGGCUAAAACUUACUACCGAAGCUACGGCAUCAGUAAUGAUGGGUAGGGGAGCUUCCCAUACGGGUUGAAGCAUGACCGUAAGGACAUGUGGACAGUAUGGGAGUGAGAAUGUUGGCAUGAGUAGCGAGAUGUGGGUGAGAAUCCCACAGGCCGUAAACCCAAGGUUUCCAGGGGAAGGUUCGUCCGCCCUGGGUUAGUCGGGACCUAAGCUGAGGCCGAAAGGCGUAGGUGAUGGACAACAGGUUGAUAUUCCUGUACUACCGAUAACCGUUUGAGAGAAGGGAUGACACAGUAGGAUAAGCUAAGCACACUGUUGGUUAUGUGUGCCCAAGCAUUGAGGCAGUCAAAGUAGGCAAAUCCGCUUUGAUAAUGCUGGGAUGUGAUGGGGAGCGAAAUUUAGUAGCGAAGUAGCUGAUUUCACACUGUCAAGAAAAGUCUCUAUCGAGGUUAAAGGUACCCGUACCGCAAACCGACACAGGUGGGUGAGGAGAGUAUCCUAAGGCCAGCGAGAGAACUGUUGUUAAGGAACUCGGCAAAAUGACCCCGUAACUUAGGGAUAAGGGGUGCCACCAUCAGGUGGCCGCAGAGAAUAGGCCCAAGCGACUGUUUACCAAAAACAUAGGUUUCUGCUAAGUCGCAAGACGAUGUAUAGGAGCUGACGCCUGCCCGGUGCUGGAAGGUUAAGGGGAUCUGUUAGAGCAAUCGAAGCAGUGAACUUAAGCCCCAGUAAACGGCGGCCGUAACUAUAACGGUCCUAAGGUAGCGAAAUUCCUUGUCGGGUAAGUUCCGACCCGCACGAAAGGCGUAACGAUUUGGGCACUGUCUCAACAACAGACUCGGUGAAAUUGUAAUUCCGGUGAAGAUGCCGGAUACCUGCGACAGGACGGAAAGACCCCAUGGAGCUUUACUGUAGCUUGACAUUGGGUCUUGGUACUACAUGUACAGGAUAGGUGGGAGGCUUUGAAACCAGGACGCCAGUUUUGGCGGAGCCAUCCUUGGGAUACCACCCUUGUAGUACUGGGACUCUAACCAUAGGCCAUGAAUCUGGUCUUGGGACACUGUCAGGUGGGCAGUUUGACUGGGGCGGUCGCCUCCCAAAAGGUAACGGAGGCGCUCAAAGGUUCUCUCAGUACGGUCGGAAAUCGUACGUAGAGUGUAAAGGCAAAAGAGAGCUUGAUUGCAAGACAUACAGGUCGAGCAAGGAUGAAAAUCGGACUUAGUGAUCCGGUGGUUCUGCGUGGAAGGGCCAUCGCUCAACGGAUAAAAGCUACCCUGGGGAUAACAGGCUUAUCUCCCCCAAGAGUCCACAUCGACGGGGAGGUUUGGCACCUCGAUGUCGGCUCAUCACAUCCUGGGGCUGUAGUAGGUCCCAAGGGUUGGGCUGUUCGCCCAUUAAAGUGGUACGCGAGCUGGGUUCAGAACGUCGUGAGACAGUUCGGUCCCUAUCCGUCGCAGGCGUAGGAAAUU